rnacentral:rRNA from 1 species
ACAGUCACACAUUUAGAUACCCGUGUAGUCCCAGCCGUAAACUAUGCUCGCUAGGUGUCAGGCAUGGCGCGACCGUGUCUGGUGCCGCAGGGAAGCCGUGAAGCGAGCCACCUGGGAAGUACGGCCGCAAGGCUGAAACUUAAAGGAAUUGGCGGGGGAGCACAACAACGGGUGGAGCCUGCGGUUUAAUUGGACUCAACGCCGGACAACUCACCGGGGACGACAGCAAUAUGUAGGCCAGGCUGAAGACCUUGCCUGAAUCGCUG